AAAAGUGCUGGAGAGAGGGUGAGAAAAAGAAAAGAAAAAAAACCCACGGCUCGCGAUAAGAAGCCGGCUUGCGUCGUUCACUUCAAAGAUCCGGCUCUAAGAGCCAUUUCAUUCACGAACGACCCAUCACUGCUGUUUAAGCCACACCAGAAACGCUCUUUGCGGAUAGCAAAGUCUGCGCUGUGGGAGUGUCUGGACCCUCCACGCCAGGAUCUGCAGCAGAACCUCGCACUGGUCCCCAGGGGCACGGCAAACUUGUAAGCCCUAGUUCGGCUCCCGAAAAAUAUGCUUGAGUUGUUCUUGUGUCCAACAAAAAAUGAGUUCUAAUAUGUUUUAUUUGUAAUGUUACUGCGUUGAAGUUAGCACCAUUUAAAAUCAAAAAAUGAUUAGUCUCUUAAAUGAAUGGCAUCUUGUUGGACCGGGGACUUAAAAAACUGAUGCAUUCUUUUACAUCUUGUGCACUUGGGCACACAUCAAUGAAACUCAAAAAGUGGGACACACAAUAUGGAGAUGAUGACUUGGCAUUUGUUAGGGAGGAGUGUAAGUAUAGAGAGGAGGAAUUCCCAUUCAUGUACUCUGCAAUGUGCAUUGUGUCCUUGUAACCUGUUUACUUUUUUUCCCAAAUAAAUAGCUGUGAAAAAACCCAUCAAAGUUGAGGUAAGUGGUUACAACAGUAUCGUAUUAGGGUCAAAUUUCUCUUUGGGUAAAAAUUAAGCCAACAUCCAAGUGUCAAAGGUCGGUUCUAAAAAAACAAGUCAGUCCCUGAAGCUUAUUUGUUCCACAGAUGCUAAUUCAGUGACUGUGUGUAAGGAAUGUUUUGGGACCUGUCUGAUCUUAAAAAACUAACUUUGUUGUUAUAUUACAGCAAUAUUGAGGAAAGAUUUAACGGCUGAUCAUGGAGCAAAAUGAAGGCCAAAGGGAAACUCGCUGCCACGCUUCUGGUUAUGCUUCCAUCCGGCGUAGUCAUCCAGCCGGUCCGUGCUAUAUCGCCCCUCCUGACCCGGAGUGGUAUAACGUGUUGUAGAAAAGUUUGAUCGAUUCUCUCUCUCUCUCUCUCUCACACACACACACUCUUACAAAAAUAAUGUUUGUUUGUUUUUCUCAUACGCUUAUGGUAUGAGACGGUGGAAGCAUCCCGAUCUCUUGGAGGUAAUUUACCCGGACGGUCGUCUGAUUCCUUGUUGGUGUGCGUAAAAUAAGGCCAUUUUCUUUGAGGGUUUCUGUUUUUCUGUCUAUUCAGAAAACGUGUUGUAAAAGUAGCUCAAAAUAAUGAAGAAAAACUCAUUACUUUGAUCGGGGAAGGAGUGGCUGCACAAAACCAAAAUACCUCAUAUAGGUGUUUUAAUAAAAAAAUUGGGAUAGAGUUCUGAAUAUGUGCGCAAGGCUUUUCUCACUAAGGAUAUUUAUUUAUUUAUUUGUUACACAAAUGAUGUGGGCGCACUGUAGGUUAUAAGCAUUAAAAAAUACUGAUAAUAACUAGAGCGGUUUGUUGACUACUUCUUGACCCGCGAUGUGUGUGUGUAAAACAAGACCGUUUUCUUUUAAGGGUUUCUGGUUGUUUUCUGCUUAUGAGAAAACCCGUUCGCUUUACCUCACAAAACCAAAAUACCUCAUCCGAGGAUGAAAUUGUUUUUAAUGUGUAUGAAAUUCUUUGCACGGGUGUCGGUACUUUGCUAGGUUACAAGCAUUAAGAAAUACUAAUAUCAAUUAGAGGGGUUGUUUUUAUGGAUGACGUUUUGUUGACUCCUCCUUGGUGUGCGUAAAACAAGGCCAUUUUCUUUGAGGGUUUCUGUCUAUUUUCUGCUACUGAGAAAACCUGUUGGAAAAGUAGCUCAAAAAAUGAAGAAAAACUGUUUACUUUGGUCUGAGAAGGAGUGGCUGCAUGUUAAGGGAUUUCUUAGGAUUUUAGAAUGUUUAUUAUGUUAUGCUCAAAAGUACAUUUCUUUAUGUUUAUGUUUGCUCUUUCAGUAAGUCACACUUUGUGCAGACUCUUAAAUGGGGAAGUUACACUCUGUACUCCAGUCUGCACGCAGCAGCUAUUUUAUCUCUUCCUGUAUCACUUCCUGUAUGUGCUUUCAAUAAAAGACUACUUCUUUAUGCUAUAAGGGAGAGUCUCUCUGGGUCUCCCCGUGUACACGGUAACCUGUCUGAGCGUUUUAUUCCAACCUGGGUUGCAAUACAGGAAAACUCCUGACACUGCACAAAACCAAAAUACCUCAUCCGAGAGUGUUUUAAUUGUUUAAGUAAGGCCGAUUUCUGAAUAUGUGUGAGGUGCUCUUUUCACUAAGGGAGAUAUAUAUAUAUAUUUUUUAAACACAUACAAGCAAUGGUGUAGCUUGCCUCCACCAAGCGCUAUAUAAUUGCAAUCCGUUACUAGUCGGAUAAUCUUAAAGGUUUUUUAUUGCAUCUGUAAUAUAAGAAAGUCAAAUAAAGCCGCUAUUGAAAGAAAUUGUUCCUUUACUGAGAAAAUUGUCAUUAUAUUUAAACAUUCAAACUAUGAGUUUGUCUGUGGAAAACUAACUGUCGCUCUGUCUCUCUAUACAGCACUGACUCAACAGAAAUCUGCUGCGUCACCCCUCAGGAACCCCUCCCUCUCGGAUCCCCAGAUCUCUUCCCCGUCCAAGUACAGAGGAACACAGGGCUGCAGAAUGAAGGGCUCCAUGUUGUCUGUGCAUAGAAAAGUGCCGGCCCUCUCUGUUUUUAUUCUCCUCCCUCCGCAGACCCCCCUCCCUCUAAGGAAGAAAACUUUUUUUUUUCACAACAGGUGUCACACGUAUGGAUCAUAUUACACACUUCCGGAGUCCCCUCCUCCCCUCACCGGAUGCUAAAACCCUUUUAGAUCCAAUUAAAAACAGGACACUCAAAAAGAUGCUCUGUAAAAGAGUAGAAUUCUUGGAACAGAGUUUAAUACACUGAGUCAUAUGAACAGCAGGAAAAAUACAUACAGACAUUUAGCAAGAGAAUUAUAUAGCAGAAA